CUAUACCUUCGUUGUUUGCGUUUUGAUGCGUGUGUAUUUCAGAAAUACAUGGAAACGGCAGACCACCACCUUGUACAGCUAUUUCAGAUGUUAUAGGACUUGACCAUGAGCCAUAUUCUGCAACCUUUACUUUGUUGUUUUCGUCAGACAUCCUGCAAGAAAUCCCUGUAGAUCAAAAAGUCGUUACAGUACAGUCGAGUGAUUGAAAAUAUGUAAAUUGUAGCCUGAAAUCAGAAGUCUUACUCAAGCGGAAAC